rnacentral:lncRNA from 1 species
AUUUUGUCCGGAGGUUCAGCCACCUCUCUUGUCAAGGCACAGCAGGGGCUGUUGCUUGCCUGGGAACCCUGCCAAAGCUGUAACAGCACUCAAUUCACCUAGCAGGGGCCACCUGCUUCAGGGGCAUUGUGGACCAGUCCUCUGGACACUAGUUUUUGGAAGAAGGGACUUGACAGCCCCGGUGAGUGGUGAGAUUGAGUGGCACCAGGUGGACUGCUUGCCUGAGGCCGCUCACCCCAUGCAACUGCAAUUCCCAAGCCUUUUCCCUGGAUGUCAGCCUCUAUCCACAGCGAGGUAGGUGUGGGAGAACCACCCUGGAGGCUCCUAAUCCCAACUGUGCCAUGUAUUCACUGCCUGGCUUUAAACAAAUUAGCUUACGUUUCUCUUAAAUUUUCUCAUCCAUAAAAUGUAGUGCCAUACAGAAUAACUUUUCAGGUCCUGUCCAGCUUUGAUAAGUUUUCCUUUACACAAAAGGACAUAAAUGUACAUAUUACUUAGUUCAUCCAUGUGCUGUAGGAGACCUUGAUCACCAAUAUUGCUAAUAAGUGGCUUAGUCAUGACUCAAAAUAAAAUUCAUGGCAAAUACAGAUCUUCCAAGACUAGAAGCGUUUCUCUUUUGCAAGGAGGAGCAGGGGCAGGACACAACAGUUCUUUCUGAGGGUUUAAUAUGAAAAGUUAGAGCCCAGACAAGUUGU